GGUCCGCUCGUUAGAGAGGCUUGAUAGGGCAUGGGAAAAAGUGGCCCUAAGUUCUGAAAAGUUCUGAAAUCGCCAGUGACAUGGACGAUUUCGUGACGUUUUUGUCUUCAAUAGUAACGAAAGCUGCUUCCUCCUCUAAGGGCGAUUUCAGAAGUAGUUUCCUCUCCCCUAUUUUCUUUGUCUAGCUUCUCCUACCCUCUGUUCUCUCACUUUCAGUCUUUGGGCUAUUUCCGCUGCCAGCGAGCUAGUGUUCCCAGCUGCGUCUGUCGUCCUCCCAAGAUCUUCGAGUUUCCCUUGAGAAACAAGUCCUGCAUUGUCGUCAUGCUAGCACAGUUGUUCACCCUCGAGACAUUGAUGAACGGAUUGUGCCGUACUUGCAACAAGCAGGAUUUUAUGGUUUGGCAUGCGUGGGCUUUAUUCAAUUGGAUUGGCACUUAAUUACAUCACUUGUGGAGAGAUAGAGACCAGAGACACAUACUUUUCAUCUUCCAGAAGGUGAAUGCACUAUCACACUUCAGGAUGUGUGCAUCUUGACUGGAUUACCCGUAGAUGGACACUCUGUUACAGGUAGUGUCAUGCAUGAUUGGCAACAGGUGUGUAUGAGAUUGUUCGGGGUUGCUCCUCCUGAGGAUGCUAUUUAUGGAUCUCGGCUGCUACUUAGUUGGCUUGGGGAGACUUUUGAGGAGUUACCAGUAGGUGCUGAUGAUUUUGCUAUACAAUGCUAUGCUCGAGCCUACAUGAUGCGUCUCAUUGGAGGGGUAAUAUUCCCUGACAAGUCCUCUUCCCGUGUUCAUUUGAUGUUUCUACCUUUGCUAGAGGACUUUCAGAGAGCUGGUGAAUACAGUUGGGGUGCUCCUUGUUUGGCAUGGUUGUACAGGGAGCUUUGUCGUGGCACAAAUCCUGCAGCAAAGCAAAUUAGUGGUCCCCUCUUCCUAGUUCAACUGUGGGCACUGGAGAGACUCCCUCAUCUUGCAUCAACCUCAAGGGAUAAUGUGCCUCAGGAUCCACACUUGCCCCUGGGUCCUCUUGGAUGUCAGUGGAGAAAUGCAAAGAUUGUUAAUGAAGUAUCCACACAGGUGCUUAAGCAAUAUCGGUAUGCAUUAGAUCGACAAGGUCCUGAUCAGAUGACAUGGGAGCCAUACACUCCUGAGGUUGUUGCAAAGUUGCCAUCGUAUUGUACAAUUGCUCGUGCAAUAUGGGGUGCUGUGGUGCCAUUGAUAUGUUUUCACAUUGUUGAAUAGCACCAGCCAGACUGAGUGAUGCGCCAGUUCGGACUACAACAGGCUAUUCCAGUACUGCUGCAUCAGGAUGAUGCAUUGCAUGCUAUUGAUCUGCCAGGCAACCAAGAGGUUAACUGGGCAACCCAGCAUGCCUCUUACAUCAGUUUGUGGGACGAUCGUCAUAAUCGGGUAAUACGUGGCAUGCUAGGAAAAGACAGAAUGAAUUACCAUUCUGAGUAUAUGGAAUGGUAUCGUAAUGUAACUAGAAGAUGGAUUAGUCCAAUGGGUGCAGCAAUUGGAAUGGUGGUUGAUGGGAUUGAACAUAUAUAUCUCAGUAGCGGUAUAAAUGCUAUACCAGAUAAUAUGGCAGAUAUCCACCAAACGGCAUUGACUAUAUUACAUGCAUCGGAUGAAGAACGGCGUACUAUAAGAGUGCCUUCAACCGAGAGAGCACCAGAAGCAGUGCAGAUAACCGGGCUUGAACAAGAGGAGGUACCAUCAAGUCGGAGGCAGCGACGUACCAUGGCUGACAGACACCACCCUGUGGAGAUUGAUCUAUCUCAGCCAUGUAUGCCAGUGGCACGACCAUCAAUGUUGCGGAUGGCAGUGUCAGCUGUUCCGAUAUCACAUGCAGCUAGGAGACGUAAACGUGGGCAUGCAGCUGCAACAACAGCUCAGAUGGAUGACCUCAAAUCACAUGUUGUUGACACAACUGAUGCACAUAUUUUGGAUGAUGCACCAACAGUUGGGGUAUAGAAGGCACAUCAUAAGUUAAAAACUGUAGUCUACUAAUUCCAACAGAAUACACUUACCAGAAGUGUUGCAGAAGCGAAUACCUUCAUAGGUUGUCCAGGCCCUUGGAAACAAAGCAUGGUAUGUACACUUCUCACCUUCCAGAUUCCAAUCCCAUGAUUCAAUGCCUGAGCUCCUGCUUUCUCUGCAUAUUUACAAUUCAUGAGGAAAUAUAAAUUUCUUUAGGAUUCACAAAUGAGAUCAUGAACUAAUAUAGCAAUAAUAAUAAUAAAAAUAAAGAAUGUGGUGGCUUACUUGGGUAUCUCUGGCCUGCUUGAACAUAAUACAGUUGAAAACUUCUUACCAUUUGGGCGAGAUACAAAGACCUAGAAGAAGUAACAGCACCCAGAUAUUUUAGUAGUUCAGAAAAUGAUACUAGAGAGAAGAAUAUGAACUUUCAGAGAGUAUCUUACUAAUGAAGCCUUUUGAUCUUCCAUAGCUUGUAUUAAAUUUCAUACAGAAGUUUGCAGUGUUUCAUUACCAAAGGGUAUGGAUGAAUGUGCAUUCAUGCAAAUAUUGCUCA